CUGAUAGGCAAAUCCGUCAGUUGAGGUGAGAUGUGACGCCGAGAGAAGCUACGGCGGAUCGAAGCAGGUGGAGUCAUGGUGACAAGAAAGAACCUCUCAGGUAGACCAUACAGAGACCGUACCGCAAACCAACACAGGUCGGUAGGAUGAGUAUUCUCAGGCGCGCGGGAGAACUCGCGUUAAGGAACUCGGCAAAAUACAUACGUAACUUCGGGAUAAGUAUGGCCUUCGAGGGAUAGUAAUAUUUUGAGGAGGUUGCAGAGAAGAGGCUCAGGCGACUGUUUACCAAAAACAUAGGUCUGUGCGAAUCAGUAAUGAGACGUAUACGGACUGACACCUGCCCGGUGCUGGAAGGUUAAGAGGAGCGGUUAGUUUUCGGACGAAGCUGCGAAUUGAAGCCCCAGUAAACGGCGGCCGUAACUAUAACGGUCCUAAGGUAGCGAAAUUCCUUGUCGGGUAAGUUCCGACCCGCACGAAUGGUGUAACGAUCUGAGCGCUGUCUCAACGCGAGACCCGGUGAAAUUGGAGUAUCGGUGAAGAUACCGAUUACCCGUGGUUAGACGGAAAGACCCCGUGAACCUUUACUGCAGCUUGGCACUGAAACUUUGCCCGUCAUGUGUAGGAUAGGAGGGAGACUGUGAAGCCUGUACGCCAGUAUGGGUGGAGUCGUUGGUGAAAUACCUCCCUUGGCUGGUUAGGUUUCUCACACCGAUCCGUGAAGCCGGAGGGUGGACAGUGUCAGGUGGGCGGUUUGACUGGGGCGGUCGCCUCCUAAAGAGUAACGGAGGCGCGCGAAGGUUCCCUUGCGCUGGGUGGAAAUCAGCGUGUAUGUGCAAAGGCAGAAGGGAGCUUGACUGCGAGACCAACAAGUCGAGCAGGUGCGAAAGCAGGUCUUAGUGAUCUGGCGGUGGCGAGUGGAAGCGCCGUCACUUAACGGACAAAAGGUACUCCGGGGAUAACAGGCUGAUUUUGCCCAAGAGUUCAUAUCGACGGCAAAGUUUGGCACCUCGAUGUCGGCUCAUCGCAUCCUGGGGCUGGAGCAGGUCCCAAGGGUAUGGCUGUUCGCCAUUUAAAGCGGUACGUGAGCUGGGUUCAGAACGUCGCGAGACAGUUCGGUCCCUAUCUGCCACGGGCGUUGGAUGAUUGAGAGGAUCUGCCUUUAGUACGAGAGGACCGAGGUGGACAAACCUCUAGUGUACCAGUUAUCGUGCCAACGGUAAGUGCUGGGUAGCUACGUUUGGAAGGGAUAACCGCUGAAAGCAUCUAAGUGGGAAGCCCACCUCAAGAUGAGUCAUCCCAUCUCCCU
rnacentral:rRNA from 1 species